rnacentral:rRNA from 1 species
UACGGGGGGGGCAAGCGUUGUUCGGAAUUACUGGGCGUAAAGGGCUCGUAGGCGGCCAACUAAGUCAGACGUGAAAUCCCCAGGCUCAACCUGGGAACUGCGUCUGAUACUGGAUGGCUUGAAUCCGGGAGAGGGAUGCAGAAUUCCAGGUGUAGCGGUGAAGUGCGUAGAUAUCUGGAGGAAUACCGGUGGCGAAGGCGGCAUCCUGGACCGGCAUUGACGCUGAGGAGCGAAAGCUAGGGGAGCAAACGGG